rnacentral:rRNA from 1 species
AGAGGGUGACACUCCGUCCGCCUCGGCAGAGUGAGUCAUUUGUCAACGAGUCGAGUUGUUUGUAGAUUGCAGCUCUAAUUUGGUGGUAAAUUCCAUCUAAAGCUAAAUAUUGGUGGGAGACCGAUAGCGUACAAGUACCGUGAGGGAAAGAUGCAAAGAACUUUUGAAAAGAGAGUUAAAGAGUACCUGAAACUGCUGAAACGGAAGCGAAGGAAACCAGUUGUUUGUUUGUUCAUAUUUCCCCUAGCCACUUGUGGCUUGGGCGCUGUGGGCUUGCGUGAGUUUGGGUUGGUUGAUUCCUUUGGAAGAGCGCAGUUCAGAGUUGAUGUCU